rnacentral:rRNA from 1 species
GACGGAGGGUGCAAGCGUUGCUCGGAAUCAUUGGGCGUAAAGGGUGCGUAGGCGGCUUCUUAAGUCUGACGUGAAAGCCCAGGGCUCAGCCUUGGAAGUGCGUUAGAAACUGAGAAGCUUGAGUACCGGAGGGGAGAGUGGAAUUCCUGGUGUAGCGGUGAAAUGCGUAGAUAUCAGGAGGAAUACCGGUGGCGAAAGCGACUCUCUGGACGGCAACUGACGCUGAGGCACGAAAGCGUGGGUAGCAAACAGG